rnacentral:rRNA from 1 species
UACGAGGGGGGCGAGCGUUGUUCGGAAUUAUUGGGCGUAAAGGGUGCGUAGGCGGUUUGGUAAGUCUGAUGUGAAAUCUAUGGGCUCAACUCAUAGUCUGCAUCGGAAACUGCCGGGCUUGAGUGUGGCAGAGGGGGGUGGAAUUCCUGGUGUAGCAGUGAAAUGCGUAGAUAUCAGGAGGAACAUCGAUGGCGAAGGCAGCCCCCUGGGCCUGUACUGACGCUCAUGCACGAAAGCGUGGGGAGCAAACAGG